rnacentral:rRNA from 1 species
CAGCAGCCGCGGUAAUACGUAGGUCCCGAGCGUUGUCCGGAUUUAUUGGGCGUAAAGCGAGCGCAGGCGGUUAGGUAAGUCUGAAGUUAAAGGCUGUGGCUUAACCAUAGUACGCUUUGGAAACUGUUUAACUUGAGUGCAAGAGGGGAGAGUGGAAUUCCAUGUGUAGCGGCGAAAUGCGUAGAUAUAUGGAGGGACACCGGUGGCGAAAGCGGCUCUCUGGUCUGUAACUGACGCUGAGGCUCGAAAGCGUGGGGAGCGAACAGGAUUAGAUACCCGCGUAGUCCCUGUCUCUUAUACA